UCCGAGAACCUGCAGAAGUUCACACUUAAAUCCUACACGAGAGUCGUAUUUAUGAUGCAGAACUCGGUGCAGAACCCGAUGGAGUGCCCAAGGCGCUUGAGCCGUUCCUAGAAGGGGAAGGAGAGCCGCGGGCGGCAGCGGGGCAGGGGACGGAAUUGGGAAGCUUGGGAGCAGGAAGAAGGCCAGAGCUACUUAGGAUGGAGAAACGGAGGCCCAGGGAAGGGAUGUGCCCGAGGUCAUACAAAGAAGUUUGUGGGAAUCCAGGCCAUGCGCGGUGGCUCACGCUUGUAAUCCCAGCACUUUG
rnacentral:lncRNA from 1 species